GACUACAGGUGGCUGCAGUGAGGAAUAUUGGUCAAUGGGCUUACGCCUGAACCAGCCAAGUCGCGUGAGGGAAGACUGCCCUAUGGGUUGUAAACCUCUUUUGCCGGGGAGCAACGGGCGCCACGUGUGGCGCCACUGAGAGUACCCGGAGAAAAAGCAUCGGCUAACUCCGUGCCAGCAGCCGCGGUAAUACGGAGGAUGCGAGCGUUAUCCGGAUUUAUUGGGUUGAAAGGGUGCGUAGGCGGAUCGUUAAGUCAGUGGUCAAAUUGAGGGGCUCAACCCCUUCCCGCCAUUGAAACUGGCGCUCUUGAGUGGAAGAGAAGUAUGCGGAAUGCGUGGUGUAGCGGUGAAAUGCAUAGAUAUCACGCAGAACCCCGAUUGCGAAGGCAGCAUGCCGGCUUCCGACUGACGCUGAAGCACGAAAGCGUGGGGAUCGAACAGGAUUAGAUACCCUAGUAGUC
rnacentral:rRNA from 1 species